AUGGCUGUCUUCAACUACCUUCAUACACGCAGCACCUUGGGGUGCUACAAAAUCAAUGGGGCACACCUUAUUUUGCUCCCUAUACAAGUUGGGGCUGCUGAACCAAAUGAUUUCCGUCCGAUCAGCCUCGUUCACAGCCUUGCGAAAAUCAUUUCGAAGGUCCUUGCCAAAAGGUUGGCUCUGGUUCUGCCUUUGAUCGUGGGGAAAAACCAAGGCGCAUUUUUGAAAGGUCGUUCAUUGCACGAGAAUUACAAGAUGGUACGAGAAUCAGCCAAGUUUGCUAAAGGAAAGGAAAGGAGAUGCAAAAGCAUUCUGCUGAAAUUAGACAUUGCAAAGGUCUUCGACACCGUCACGUGGCAGUUCUUGCUUGAAUUGCUUAAAAAAUAUCGGCUUUGGACCUAA
rnacentral:rRNA from 1 species